UUUUUCGAAUGUAACCCUGUUUCCACAACACGAACAAAUAGAAAUAUGGAAAAACAAAGAUGCUAACCUGACUGAUUCGCAGACACCGUUACUAGAAGAGGACAAAGGCACAACAGCACUUUAAACAACAUUCUCUUUCCGUUAAUCUUUUUCAAAAUUUCGCUUGAGUCCGCCAAAAACCUUGAUGUUCACUCUAUGAGCUGACGUG
rnacentral:lncRNA from 1 species